GACGAACGCUGGCGGCGUGCUUAACACAUGCAAGUCGAACGGACAGGCCCUGCUUUUGUUGGUUGCUCGUUUGGCGCACGGGUGAGUAACACGUGUGUAACCUGCCCCUGACUUUGGGAUAUCUUCACGAAACUGGGGCUCAUACCCGAUAGGAGCUCCUGCUGCAUGGUGUGGGUUGGUAAGUUUCGGUGUUUGGGGAUGUACUCGCUGCUUAUCAGCUUGUUUGUGUGGUAGUGGCUUACCAAGGCUUUGACGGGUAGCCGGCCUGGGAGGGUGACCGGCGACAUUGGGACUGAGAGAGGGACCAGACGCGAACGGGAGGCAGCGGUGGGGAGUAUGACAGAGUGGGGGGAAGUCAGAGACGGAGACGCCGGGUGCGGGAUAACGGGCUACGAGUUGUAAACCGAUUUCGCCUGUGACGAAGAGUGAGUGACGGUAAUGGGUAAAGAAGCACCGGCUAACUACGUG
rnacentral:rRNA from 1 species